rfam:Ceraceosorus bombacis genome assembly, contig: Scaffold_166
GAGAACUUAGUUGAGUGGUUUAACGUUGUCUUUACACGACAGAAAGAGUGGUUCGAUUCCAUUAGUUCUUA